rnacentral:lncRNA from 1 species
UAGUAUAGUACAAUUACAUAACAUAACUAGAACCGUGUUUUCUGAUUCUCUGAUUAAACUAGAGUGAGCUCAACCUCACGAAUUUGUGCACGGAUAUUCGCAAGUACAAAAUCCUAGCAGCGCAAAUCACCAAACAACAAUCCGAAUCAUAUGAAUAGUAAUUAUAUAGAGUUGACGAACACCGAAAUCAAAUUGAACAAUAACAAGGGGUAAAGAGAGGACCUGAAGCUCGCCUUUGAUCAUGGUGAAGACACUGGUGAAUAGAUCGUUAAUUGACUCUCCCAGUUCGUCUCUUUCCUUGGCUUCCCCCAUUUUGAGACUCUCAGAUACAAGUUAGAUUGGCCCUCUAUCAAUUAACGCUGUGUGCGUGUCACUUGUGUGAGUAGCUUCAAUUUUUAUAUAUCCAGAAUAUAUUUCAAGAAAGUUUCAACAAUUAGGACACUAGAAAAUACUUACCUUCGUGUGAGCAUCAUGAUCAUGAAUUUAAUCUAUUCAAUCAAGGAAAUUUUUAUUCUAAAUUAUAAAUAAAACUAGUGAAAAAAGCCGCGCUUCG